GGAAGCGUGCGUGAGCGGCUUAAACGGCAGUCCUGGAAAGACUGUGUGUCGAAAGGCACCGGAGGUUCGAAUCCUCUCGCUUCCG
rnacentral:tRNA from 1 species